rnacentral:rRNA from 1 species
UGGGGAAUAUUGGACAAUGGGCGCAAGCCUGAUCCAGCAAUGCCGCGUGUGUGAAGAAGGCCUGCGGGUUGUAAAGCACUUUCAGUGGGGAAGAAAAGCCUACGGUUAAUAACCGUGAGUCUUGACGUAACCCACAGAAGAAGCACCGGCUAACUCCGUGCCAGCAGCCGCGGUAAUACGGAGGGUGCGAGCGUUAAUCGGAAUUACUGGGCGUAAAGCGCGCGUAGGCGGUUUGGUCAGUCGAAUGUGAAAGCCCAGGGCUUAACCUUGGAACUGCGUUCGAUACUGCCUGACUAGAGUAUGGUAGAGGGAAGUGGAAUUUCCGGUGUAGCGGUGAAAUGCGUAGAUAUCGGAAGGAACACCAGUGGCGAAGGCGACUUCCUGGGCCAAUACUGACGCUGAGGUGCGAAAGCGUGGGGAGCAAACAGGAUUAGAUACCCCCGUAGUCC